AAGAGAAAUGAUGUUGUUUAUCUAUAUAUAUUCAGCAAUUCAACGAAGAUAAAAAAAAACAUGCACUACCAUUUUAUCUCUU